CGACAAGGAUGGAUCUGAACUCCACGCGGCAGAGCAAUGGAUUAGCAGUCCAUCCCUUAACCACUCGGCCAUCUCGUC